rnacentral:rRNA from 1 species
AAUCAACGCUGGCGGCGUGCCUAACACAUGCAAGUCGCACGAGAAAGGGUAGCAAUACCUGAGUACAGUGGCGCACGGGUGAGUAACACGUGAAUAAUCUACCUCCGAGUGGGAAUAACCUAGGGAAACCUGGGCUAAUACCGCAUAACACUUACGAGUCAAAGCAGCAAUGCGCUUGGAGAGGAGUUCGCGGCAGAUUAGCUAGUUGGUGAGGUAAUGGCUCACCAAGGCAAUGAUCUGUAUCCGGCCUGAGAGGGCGCACGGACACACUGGAACUGAACACGGUCCAGACUCCUACGGGAGGCAGCAGUGGGGAAUUUUGCGCAAUGGGGGAAACCCGUACGACGCAGCAACGCCGCGUGGAGGAUGAAAUCCCUUGGGANGUUAAACUACCUUUCGAUCGGGACGAUUAUGACGGUACCGGAAGAAGAAGCCCC